rnacentral:lncRNA from 13 species
UUAUGUAAAGCCGAUGAGAAAGCCAAACAAGCCCUUGAUACAUCAAAUACCGACAAAGAAAGAAGAACCAAAGAAGCGAGAAAAUUAAGAGCAAAAAUGGCUAUGCUCUCGUCCGAAAGCAAGGAAGAAUCAUCUAGAGAAAUUAUUUUAUCACGUCCUCCACGUCCUCCUGCAAAACAAUUCUUCCGCAGAAACGUACAGCAAAUCAAAAAAGGUUUGAACACGAAUCUCGAGAUCAUAAUUCUUCGUAUUCAAGAAGUGAAGAAAGACACAAUAGUACUGUACACCAUAAACUGGAAAAUGAAGAGGAUAUACCAAAUCGGCAUGUGGAUAAAACGGAUGAGAUCGGCCAUAUGCAAGACGAAGAGAGAUUACAAGAAAAAAAAAAAUGAUAAGUUGGAUAAGUCUUCAUAAGAUGCAAUUGUAAAUCAUUUAAAGAGACUGACAAGAGUAAUAGCGAUCAUAAAAUACAAUAUGCGGCAAACGCUUAGUAUAUUGGUUUUUUUGGUGAAAAGGACAAAUUCAGAAACAGAAGCCAAGAACCUAGAGAAUUCUUGUGAAAGCGUUGAAGACUGAUUUCUGUUGUAAACUGCUGAACAAUUAAUGGAGGUGGAGGAAAUCUUGAAACUUCAUAAUUCCUAAGAUAAUGUUGCAAUACAUAUAUCAAAUCCAUCGGAGGAACUAACGUCACUGAUGCCGUAAAAAAGACGUUGUAUAAGUUAUUCACCAAUAAAUCGGCGGAGAAAUAUAAUUGGGAAGGCCGUUGCGGAAAGGAACCACUACAUAAAUUGAAACUAAUAAAAAUGAUUUUUAGUAAGUACUAAUACAUAGUAAUAUUUAAAUGCAAAAAUUUUUGUAAACAAUUAAGAAAUAUUUUCAA